CUCUGCUCUCUAGGUCACCCCCAGGCAACUUAGCAGGUCCAGCUGCUCGGUUACGGUUGGGCCCUGCUGGGCUCUGGAUGCCACCGCAUGAAUGAGCGGGCUGUGUUUGCACCUCGGCUGGCAGCUCUCCAAGCGCCCAGUGCCCGGCCCCACCCCAGCGCGCACUCAGCACAAGGACCAGCCCUCAGUGACUGAAUGCAUCAAUGAGGACACGCCUGGCGGACAGUCAAGAUUGCUUCCUGGUGAAGCAGAAUCACAGUGUGGAGCCCGGUGUGGAAGCGCUCAUUUUGGAAUCUUGUCCAAGAAGCGUCCUCUAGAUUGCUAACAUGGGGGGGGGCAAACUCCCCAGUCCCCACCUCCACGCAUACACGGUUUUUACCAGUUAGCUGUUCGGUAACCAGGAAGUUUGGACGCCAAUGUCUUCCUUCCAACCUAAGAGAAAAGUCACCUUUACCCCUCAGCCCUCGGCGUGCGCCGCCCCACGCCGCGCCUCCCCUGCCCGGCUGCUGGCCCAAGUGCUGACUGGGAGCGGCUGCUCUUGGCGUCAAGCCCCAGAACAUCCUGUACCGCUGAGAGGCUGGGCCGGCCCUCCCUGGACGGCGCGGGAUGGGAAGCGACCAGCCCGGGGUGAGGACGGAGACAAUACGGGCUCAGGACCCUCUGAAGCGGGAGGGAUCCCAGGAGACAGAGAUACAGGUUGUGUAGACCUCAUUGUCCUCGGGAUUAAAGUCCAGAUGCCAAUCAUAAUUUGCAAGUCUCUUCAAGAUCUGGCGGCUGCUAAAUGAGGAGAUGUCGGUCAGAGGGUACACUUGUGUUUAUGAGUAAGUUCUAGAGACCUAACAGCGUGGUGAUUAUAGUUAAUCAGACUGUAUUAUAUACUUGAAAGUUGCUAGGAGGGUCGAUCUUAAAUGUUCUGAGCACAAACAAGAAAUGGCAUGUGACGGGAUGGACGUGUUAGUGAACACUCUGAUGCUUGUCAUUUCGCAAUAUACAAAUCACGUUGUACGUCUUACACUCACACGGUGUUAUCUGCGAAUUACAGCUCAGGAAAGCUGCAAAAACAAAGGUCCGGCUGCUGUUUUUACCUCUCAGCGCUCCCCCAACCCCUGUUCCUUUGUACCUGACAGCCGGUUAUCAUUUUUUAAUUUUUAUUUGGAAAGAAUUUCCAAUUUAGAAAACACUGGAAGAAUGAAAAUAGCACAAGGAGCACUUGUAUAAGCCUAUUGUUAAUAUUUUAUCCCAUUGCCUUUAUCAUUUGGGUUCUCUGCCCGCACGCACACAUCAUGUGUAUACAUUAUCCACACACACGUAUGUGCACAUUACAUAUAUACAUCCUGAAUACCAUCUUAUACUCGCACAUACACACUCCUGUCUGAGCCACGCGAGGGGAGGUUGUAUGUAUCAUGAUCCUUUACUCCUACACUUCAGUGAAUUUCCUAAGCAGAGAGACAUCCUCUCCCACAGCCAGAGAAUGGCUUUGUUUCCUACAUGGAACAGUGUUACAAUACUUUUUUUUUUUUUAGGAAGGGGAGAAAGUGAGCGCGCGGAGGGAAGGGGAGAGGGGGAAGGUGAGGGAGAAGCAGACUCCCCGCUGAGCACGAAGCCCCAACGUGGGGCUCGUGGGGCUCGAUCUCAGAACCCUGAGGUCAUGACCUGAGCCGGAACCAAGAGUCAGACGCUCAACCGGCUGAGCCAGCCAGGCGCCCCUAGAGUCAAUCAAUACUUUAAUCCACACUGAUGCCCUUUAGAACAUUUCUUCCCUUCCAGUACAGGAGCUACUCUAGCGUCAGGUGUUGCAUGGCGUUGUUCUUUCUUUCUUUUUUUUUUUUUAAAGAUUUUAUUUAUUUAUUCGACAGAGAUAGAGACAGCCAGUGAGAGAGGGAACACAAGCAGGGGGAGUGGGAGAGGAAGAAGCAGGCUCAUAGCAGAGGAGCCUGAUGUGGGGCUCAAUCCCAUAACCCUGGGAUCACGCCCUGAGCCGAAGGCAGACGCUUAACCGCUGUGCCACCCAGGCGCCCCGGCGUUGUUCUUUCUAUGUAGCCUGCGUUAAUCUGGAACACCCCACGCAUUUGGGUCUUUAUGACCUUGCUGUUUUUGCACAGAUCACUUCCCCCUCCCGCCAAUAUAAAUAUUCACGUUUUUCUUUCCUGCCAACAUUUCUCAGCAGAAGGCUCCUCAUGCUGUGCUUACCUGGUGUUUCCUCAUGAUUAGAUCGGGGCUCUGCAAUCUGGGGGCGCGCAGCUGAUAUCUGUCUCUCAUUGGUGAUGCGAAUUUCAAUCACCAGUUCAAGGUGGUGCCCGAGGUCUCGACCCUAUAGCUACUUUUUUUUCUCCUUUGCAUAUAAUAAACAGUCUGUGGGGAGACA
rnacentral:lncRNA from 1 species